AUAACUUUCAGCGACGGAUGUCUUGGCUCGAGUGUCGAUGAAGAGCACAGUGAAUUGUGAUAAGUUCUGUGACUUGCAGAAUUCCGAGAACCAGUAAAUCCUUGAACGCAUAUUGCGCUUUUGGGAAAUUCCUGAAAGCAGGUCUGUCUCAGUGUCACUA
rnacentral:rRNA from 1 species